AAUGAACGUUGGCGGCGUGGAUUAGGCAUGCAAGUCGAGCGAGAACCGUAGCAAUACGGGGACAGCGGCGAAAGGGACAGUAAUGUGUAGGUACCUACCCUCAGGUCUGGAAUAGCCACGGGAAACUGUGGGUAAUGCCAGAUAACAUCUCCGGAUCAAAGGUGUGAUUCCGCCGGAGGACGGGCCUACAUCCUAUUAGCUUGUUGGUGGGUAACGGCCUACCAAGGCAAUGAUGGGUAGCAGGUGUGAGAGCACGACCUGCGUCACUGGGACUGAGACACUGCCCAGACACCUACGGGUGGCUG
rnacentral:rRNA from 1 species